AUUUGGCAGAUAAUUAAACAGCUAAAAAGUUGUAAACGAAAGUUCAAAACAAUUUAAUUUAGUUUUUACUCACAAAAAGGUAAAUAGUUAUUAAAAUGGACAUUAGUUUUGAUUUAUAUUACGACGAAAAUCCAAAUCCACACGAACUUAGUAACACCAUCAGAUUCAUAAGUUAUUUUCGUCGUAAAUGAGAUGAGGAACAUUACCACAAACUCUCCAUUUCCUUGCUGCCGGUAGCUGUGAAGAAUGCAUAUUAAUUUUGGGCUGAAUCAACCUUUUUAUUUGAUUGAAUAAGAUUAUUGUUUAUAUCUUUUGUUUUAUUAAUUGCUUCGUUAGUAAUUUAUUACAGAGUAUAUGAGAGGAGAUACAAAUAUUAAUCCUUUUAUUGUAUUAGUUUUUACAAAACAUAAUUCAAAAUUGUAUCGACUCUUUAUGUUCCAAACACUUUCCACGGUCCCUUAAUUUUAUUUUAAUGUUUCCAAAUUGUAGCUUGUCUCGUCCAGUUUUGGAAGUUUACUCCACGAACUCAACAAACUUCACCUUUCUAUGGAUUUGUACAAAGUAACUGAUCAAAAUUGUUUGAAAUAAAAAAUAAAAUAGUUCUUUUUACCCA